rnacentral:rRNA from 1 species
AACGCGAAGAACCUUACCCGGGCUUAAAUUGCAGUGGAAUGAUGUGGAAACAUGUCAGUGAGCAAUAGCGUCUGUGUAGGUGCUGCAUGGUUGUCGUCAGCUCGUGCCGUGAGGUGUCGGCUUAAGUGCCAUAACGAGCGCAACCCACAUUAUUAGUUACUAACAGGUUAUGCUGAGGACUCUAGAGAGACUGCCGUCGUAAGAUGUGAGGAAGGUGGGGAUGACGUCAAAUCAGCACGGCCCUUACGUCCGGGGCUACACACGUGUUACAAUGGGGGGUACAGAAGGCAGCUAGUGUGCGACCGUAUGCUAAUCCCAAAAUCCUCUCUCAGUUCGGAUCGAAGUCUGCAACCCGACUUCGUGAAGCUGGAUUCGCUAGUAAUCGCGCAUCAGCCACGGCGCGGUGAAUACGUUCCCGGGCCUUGUACACACCGCC